rnacentral:rRNA from 1 species
AAUGAACGCUGGCGGCAGGCCUAACACAUGCAAGUCGAACGGAUCCUUCGGGAUUAGUGGCGGACGGGUGAGUAACGCGUGGGAACGUGCCCUUUGGUUCGGGAUAGCCUCGGGAAACUGGGAGUAAUACCGGAUAAGCCCUUCGGGGGAAAGAUUUAUCGCCAAAGGAUCGGCCCGCGUUGGAUUAGGUAGUUGGUGGGGUAAUGGCCUACCAAGCCGACGAUCCAUAGCUGGUUUGAGAGGAUGAUCAGCCACACUGGGACUGAGACACGGCCCAGACUCCUACGGGAGGCAGCAGUGGGGAAUCUUAGACAAUGGGGGAAACCCUGAUCUAGCCAUGCCGCGUGAUCGAUGAAGGCCUUAGGGUUGUAAAGAUCUUUCAGCUGGGAAGAUAAUGACGGUACCAGCAGAAGAAGCCCCGGCUAACUCCGUGCCAGCCGCCGCUGUAAUAC